GAUCAUGGCUCAGGAUGAACGCUAGCUACAGGCUUAACACAUGCAAGUCGAGGGGCAGCAUGAACUUAGCUUGCUAAGUUUGAUGGCGACCGGCGCACGGGUGAGUAACACGUAUCCAACCUGCCGGAUGACUCGGGGAUAGCCUUUCGAAAGAAAGAUUAAUACCCGAUGGCAUAGUUCUUCCGCAUGGUGGAACUAUUAAAGAAUUUCGGUCAUCGAUGGGGAUGCGGUUCCA
rnacentral:rRNA from 1 species